rnacentral:rRNA from 1 species
CAAUAGCGUAUAUCAAAGUUGUUGCGGUAAAAAAGCUCGUAGUUGGAUUUCUGUUGAGAGCGACCGGUCCAUACCAUGUAUGCGUAUCUGGCUUGCUCUCGGCAUCCUCUCGAUAGACGUUACUGCGCUUGAUUGCGUGGUGCGGAUCUCGGGACUUUUACUUUGAGGAAAUUAGAGUGUUCACGGCAGGCUUUCGCCAGAAUACAUUAGCAUGGAAUAAUACUAUAGGAUCUUGGUUCUAUUUUGUUGGUUUCUAGAAUUGAGAUAAUGAUUAAUAGGGACAAUUGGGGGCAUUCGUAUCAACACGUCAGAGGUGGAAUUCUUGGAUUGUGUUGCGACGAACUACUGCGAAAGCAUUUGCCAAGGAUGUUUUCAUUGA